rnacentral:rRNA from 1 species
UCGGACCAAAGAUUUAUCGCCUAAAGAUGAGCCCGCGUCGGAUUAGCUAGUUGGUGAGGUAAAAGCUCACCAAGGCGACGAUCCGUAGCUGGUCUGAGAGGAUGAUCAGCCACACUGGGACUGAGACACGGCCCAGACUCCUACGGGAGGCAGCAGUGGGGAAUAUUGGACAAUGGGCGAAAGCCUGAUCCAGCAAUGCCGCGUGAGUGAUGAAGGCCUUAGGGUUGUAAAGCUCUUUUACCCGGGAUGAUAAUGACAGUACCGGGAGAAUAAGCCCCGGCUAACUCCGUGCCAGCAGCCG